rnacentral:rRNA from 1 species
UAGGGAAUUUUGCGCAAUGGACGAAAUGUCUGACGCAGCGACGUCGCGUGUGGGAUGAAGGGUUUCGGCUCGUAAACCACUGUCAAGCGGGAAGAGGGGGUAUGUGGCUAAUAUCCACGUAUCCUGACGGUACCGCUGGAGGAAGCACCGGCUAACUACGUGCCAGCAGCCGCGGUAAUACGUAGGGUGCAAGCGUUGUUCGGAAUCAUUGGGCGUAAAGGGUGUGUAGGCGGAUCAGUAAGUCAGAUGUGAAAGCCUUGGGCUUAACCCAAGAAGUGCAUUUGAUACUGCUAGUCUAGAGUUCAGGAGAGGGUGGCAGAAUUCCCGGUGUAGAGGUGAAAUCCGUAGAUAUCGGGAGGAAUACCGGAGGCGAAGGCGGCCACCUGGACUGACACUGACGCUGAGACACGAAAGCGUGGGGAUCAAACAGG